rnacentral:rRNA from 1 species
GAUGAACGCUGGCGGCGUGCCUAAUACAUGCAAGUCGAGCGAACAGACAAGGAGCUUGCUCCUCUGACGUUAGCGGCGGACGGGUGAGUAACACGUGGAUAACCUACCUAUAAGACUGGGAUAACUUCGGAAAACCAGAUCUAAUACCGUAAAAUAUAUUGAACCGCGAUGUUCAAUAGUAAAAUGCGGUUUUGCUGUCACUUGUAGAUGGAUCCUCGCCUCAUUAGCUAGUUGGUAAGGUAACGGCUUACCAAGGCAACGAUGCGUAGCCGACCUGAGAGGGUGAUCGGCCACACUGGAACUGAGAAACGGUCAAGACUCCUACGGGAGGCAGAAGUAGGGAAUCUUCCGAAAUGGGCGAAAGCCUGCCGGAGCACCGCCGCGUGGGUGAUGAAGGUUUUCGGAUCGUAAACCUCUGUUAUUAGGGAAGAACAAAUGUGUAAGUAAAUAUGCACGUUUUGACGGUACCUAACCAGAAAGCCACGGCUAACUACGUG